rnacentral:miRNA from 1 species
AUAGAUGAGAUUAGUUGCUUGC